UACGUAGGGCGCAAGCGUUAUCCGGAAUUAUUGGGCGUAAAGAGCUCGUAGGCGGUGUGUCGCGUCGGCCGUGAAAACCUGCAGCUUAACUGUGGGCUUGCGGUCGAUACGGGCAUCACUGGAGUUCGGCAGGGGAGACUGGAAUUCCUGGUGUAGCGGUGAAAUGCGCAGAUAUCAGGAGGAACACCGGUGGCGAAGGCGGGUCUCUGGGCCGAUGACUGACGCUGAGGAGCGAAAGCGUGGGGAGCAAACAGG
rnacentral:rRNA from 1 species